GAUUAACGCUGGCGGUAUGUCUAAUACAUGCAAGUCGAACGCGUCCUUGUGACGAGUGGCGAACGGCUGAGUAACACAUUGGUAUCUGCCCCGAACUCAGGGAUAACCCACCUAACGGUGGACUAAUACCGGAUAGUCUCGCAAGAGUAAAGUUUUUCGGUUCGGGAGGAGCCUGUGGCCUAUCAGUUUGUUGGUGAGGUAAUGGCUCACCAAGACUAUGACGGGUAGCUGGUCUGAGAGGAUGAUCAGCCAGAAUGGGACUGAGACACGGCCCAUACUCCUACGGGAGGCAGCAGUAAAGAAUCUUUCGCAAUGGGGGAAACCCUGACGAAGCAAUACCGCGUGGACGAUGAAGGUCGUAAGAUCGUAAAGUCCUUUUCUGAGGGAAUAAAUCUGAAGGUACCUCAGGAAUAAGCACCGGCUAACUCCGUGCCAGCAGCCGCGGUAAU
rnacentral:rRNA from 1 species